rnacentral:rRNA from 3 species
AGACCCGAAACCCGGUGAUCUAGCCAUGGGCAGGUUGAAGGUUGGGUAACACUAACUGGAGGACCGAACCGACUAAUGUUGAAAAAUUAGCGGAUGACCUGUGGCUGGGGGUGAAAGGCCAAUCAAACCGGGAGAUAGCUGGUUCUCCCCGAAAGCUAUUUAGGUAGCGCCUCGUGAAUUCAUCUCCGGGGGUAGAGCACUGUUUCGGCUAGGGGGCCAUCCCGGCUUACCAACCCGAUGCAAACUGCGAAUACCGGAGAAUGUUAUCACGGGAGACACACGGCGGGUGCUAACGUCCGUCGUGAAGAGGGAAACAACCCAGACCGCCAGCUAAGGUCCCAAAGUCAUGGUUAAGUGGGAAACGAUGUGGGAAGGCCCAGACAGCCAGGAUGUUGGCUUAGAAGCAGCCAUCAUUUAAAGAAAGCGUAAUAGCUCACUGGUCGAGUCGGCCUGCGCGGAAGAUGUAACGGGGCUAAACCAUGCACCGAAGCUGCGGCAGCGACACUGUGUGUUGUUGGGUAGGGGAGCGUUCUGUAAGCCUGUGAAGGUGUGUCGUGAGGCAUGCUGGAGGUAUCAGAAGUGCGAAUGCUGACAUAAGUAACGAUAAAGCGGGUGAAAAGCCCGCUCGCCGGAAGACCAAGGGUUCCUGUCCAACGUUAAUCGGGGCAGGGUGAGUCGACCCCUAAGGCGAGGCCGAAAGGCGUAGUCGAUGGGAAACGGGUUAAUAUUCCCGUACUUGGUGUUACUGCGAAGGGGGGACGGAGAAGGCUAUGUUGGCCGGGCGACGGUUGUCCCGGUUUAAGCGUGUAGGUGUGUGUUCCAGGUAAAUCCGGUUCACUUUAACACUGAGGCGUGACGACGAGGCACUACGGUGCUGAAGCAACAAAUGCCCUGCUUCCAGGAAAAGCCUCUAAGCAUCAGGUAACAUCAAAUCGUACCCCAAACCGACACAGGUGGUCAGGUAGAGAAUACCAAGGCGCUUGAGAGAACUCGGGUGAAGGAACUAGGCAAAAUGGUGCCGUAACUUCGGGAGAAGGCACGCUGACACGUAGGUGAAGUGAUUUACUCAUGGAGCUGAAGUCAGUCGAAGAUACCAGCUGGCUGCAACUGUUUAUUAAAAACACAGCACUGUGCAAACACGAAAGUGGACGUAUACGGUGUGACGCCUGCCCGGUGCCGGAAGGUUAAUUGAUGGGGUCAGCGCAAGCGAAGCUCCUGAUCGAAGCCCCGGUAAACGGCGGCCGUAACUAUAACGGUCCUAAGGUAGCGAAAUUCCUUGUCGGGUAAGUUCCGACCUGCACGAAUGGCGUAAUGAUGGCCAGGCUGUCUCCACCCGAGACUCAGUGAAAUUGAACUCGCUGUGAAGAUGCAGUGUACCCGCGGCAAGACGGAAAGACCCCGUGAACCUUUACUAUAGCUUGACACUGAACAUUGAGCCUUGAUGUGUAGGAUAGGUGGGAGGCUUUGAAGUGUGGACGCCAGUCUGCAUGGAGCCGACCUUGAAAUACCACCCUUUAAUGUUUGAUGUUCUAACGUGGACCCGUUACCCGGGUUGCGGACAGUGUCUGGUGGGUAGUUUGACUGGGGCGGUCUCCUCCUAAAGAGUAACGGAGGAGCACGAAGGUUGGCUAAUCCUGGUCGGACAUCAGGAGGUUAGUGCAAUGGCAUAAGCCAGCUUGACUGCGAGCGUGACGGCGCGAGCAGGUGCGAAAGCAGGUCAUAGUGAUCCGGUGGUUCUGAAUGGAAGGGCCAUCGCUCAACGGAUAAAAGGUACUCCGGGGAUAACAGGCUGAUACCGCCCAAGAGUUCAUAUCGACGGCGGUGUUUGGCACCUCGAUGUCGGCUCAUCACAUCCUGGGGCUGAAGUAGGUCCCAAGGGUAUGGCUGUUCGCCAUUUAAAGUGGUACGCGAGCUGGGUUUAGAACGUCGUGAGACAGUUCGGUCCCUAUCUGCCGUGGGCGCUGGAGAACUGAGGGGGGCUGCUCCUAGUACGAGAGGACCGGAGUGGACGCAUCACUGGUGUUCGGGUUGUCAUGCCAAUGGCACUGCCCGGUAGCUAAAUGCGGAAGAGAUAAGUGCUGAAAGCAUCUAAGCACGAAACUUGCCCCGAGAUGAGUUCUCCCUGAGACUUAGAGUCUCCUGAAGGAACGUUGAAGACGACGACGUUGAUAGGCCGGGUGUGUAAGCGCAGCGAUGCGUUGAGCUAACCGGUACUAAUGAACCGUGAGGCUUAACCUUACAACGCCGAAG